UUCACCGUUGAAGCCAUUUUCUCAUUUCUCACAUUUCAUCCCUCUUUACUGUAUCAGUGCCUCCAUCACCUCACUUUGCUAUUGCAACCUCUUCAUUUCGCCGUCGCUGCCAUCUCCUCCUCUUCCUCACACCAAGUUCUACACCGAACGACUCAAGUAACAUUCUUGGCUACCACCUCAUCCUCAAUCUGCGUUGGUUGUCGCUAGUUCAUGUCACAGUCUCUGUCGAUGGCUUGUAGCCUCAUGUGGUGGUUUCUAUCGCCGCCUCUGUCAUACAUUAUGAUCUCUAGUUUCAGUUCGCACCUCAGUAACCUUUUCAUCCAUCUCUUAUUCAAUUGUGGUUCCUUAUUUGAGAAAUUCUCAUUUUCUAGGGUUUAUGUGAUUCAUGCUAACUAAUACAUUCUUGCAUAUCAUCAUGCACCGAUUUUUAUGCCCCAGGAGAAAUUAAUUUGAAAUUUGGAAUUGCUUGUGUGAGGCUGGCUUUAGGCUCAGUGAAUUUGCAUACUCACCAUUUCGGUCCUCCUUUAAAGAUGUCAACCAUGGCACCUGAAUCAUACAAGGAGGCAGUCCUUCAGGCAAAAGAACAUAUUAAGGCAGGGGAUAUUCACUUUGUGGAGAACAGAAUAAUGAGGAUUUAAAGAAGAGUGAAGUGACAACAUGUGACACCUUUCCCUUCUUAUUAAGUCAAGAUUGAUGAUCAGAGUCAAUUUAACCCUCCA